rnacentral:rRNA from 1 species
AACGAACGCUGGCGGCAGGCUUAACACAUGCAAGUCGAACGGUUGUAGCAAUACAGCAGUGGCAGACGGGUGAGUAACACGUGGGAACCUUCCUAGGGGUACGGAACAACUCAGGGAAACUUGAGCUAAUACCGUAUACGUCCGUGAGGAGAAAGAUUUAUCGCCCCUAGACGGGCCCGCGUAGGAUUAGGUAGUUGGUGAGGUAACGGCUCACCAAGCCUACGAUCCUUAGCUGAUCUGAGAGGAUGAUCAGCCACACUGGGACUGAGACACGGCCCAGACUCCCACGGGAGGCAGCAGUGGGGAAUUUUGGACAAUGGGCGCAAGCCUGAUCCAGCCAUGCCGCGUGAGUGAAGAAGGCCUUCGGGUUGUAAAGCUCUUUUACCAGGGACGAUAAUGACGGUACCUGGAGAAUAAGCCCCGGCAAACUUCGUGCCAGCCGCCGCAGUAA